rnacentral:lncRNA from 1 species
UCUACAGUAAGCAAAAUAGGAGGGACACAAGUGAUGAGACCAUUUAUAAUUGUUAAAGAAAUAACUAAUAGCUAGUACAGUAAGUUGGUUGUUAAUUCAGGAACAUCUGUUAUAACAUUUCUUUAAUGGCUAGUGUUUAUUCUUCAGCUCAUGUAGGUAUUGUUGGUUUGUAACUAUUCAAUGGAAAAUUGUGUGACUGAUAACACGAGAA